GCAAAGGUAGCAUAAUCAUUUGCCCUCUAAUUAGGGGCUUGUAUGAAUGGACCCACCUUGCUAAACUGUCCCUUCAAUGCCAAUGAAAAUUUUCCUCUAAUUGAAGAGAAUUAGAUCCAAAUGAAGGACCAGAAGACCCUAUAGAGCUCGGCAGCAGUGUUACUACCCUAAAGUUUCCUGCAGCUUCGUUGGGGCGACGAAAGAAUUCACUCCUCUUCCUAUAAAAUUACCACAAAUUAAAUUUUUAUCCAUUUUUUAUGAAAGAGAAAAAGCUACCUUAGGGAUAACAGUCUAAUUUCUUUUAAUAGUCCACAUUAACAAAGAAGCUUGGCAC
rnacentral:rRNA from 1 species